GCUAGAACAAAAACACAGAGUUGCAGCAACAUAAAAGCUUUCAAUAAUUCUAAGGUUAUAAUGUUCUUAUUCUUAAUAUAGUACAUAUUGCUCAGCUCAUCUAAAAUAUACAUUUGCAGAGAUGACAAUUUUUCAUCAAUGAAGAAUUUUAGGAACAUGUGAGUCAAAUAAGUGUAGAAUGGAUCUCUCAAUUUCUCUCAAUUUUCACAUCACAACCAUCAAUCAACUUUUCAUAAUUUAUUUUAAAUAUAAAUAUUGUCCUACAUUUAUAAUUCAAUGAUCUAAAAGGCAACAUUAUUUCGUCAAUUUGUUUUUCAAAUUGAGAGAAUCCUCUCUCAAAUAAGUGACCACCUAUUAUAUUAAAAGCUACUUAUUUAAAAAUUUACAAAUAUAUAAUAACAAACUCACAUCAAAAGAAUUAUCAUAAGCAAAAUGAACUAUUAGUGGGUCCAUUGAUGUUCCGUAAAAAUGGACACCCGAGGAUAGGAUCCUCAAUACAUGUCAAGUAAAGACGUCCAUUAUUCUGCUUCAAAUUUAACAUAUCUACAAAAAGGGAAAGAAAAAAUAAGAAUGCAUUGUGGAAUUGAAAUUAUAUAAAAGGCAACUCUGAACUUGCAGCGAAAACAAAGAGACAUUCAGACACACAAUUACUCUUAUAGUACCUGAACAUAGUCAUGCAUACAAUGCUAAACUCUUCUUGCUUCAAUCUACAUAGAAAUUCCCUUUAGUUUGAACUAAAAUUGAAAUGAAAAUCAGAUAUUUGAAGACAAUUCAAUCAUUAUUUCAUUUUGACUAUUAAAAAACCAGAAUAAUCCAAGCAUUCUAGCAUAUUCUCUAUUUAAAAUUCAAGCUCUGUGGCAAAUUUCAAGAAGUGAAACCUGCAUUUUCAAAGAAUAGUUUGAAUGUCAAUUAGAUCAGCAUCAUAAAGCUUAGCAACAGAUUAUUUCAUCAAUAUGUUCAAAAGAAAUAACUAUUUUUCAAAAGUUUAUAGCAAUUAAACUCAGAACAACUCAAAAGAACUAAUAUCUUUGUUUCUAUACUAACCAAGAUUCUAAUUGACCAAGAUUCUAACCAAAAAAAAAAAAGGUCAUAGUUUUAUACUACCAAAGUGAUUACCUUUAGAGAUUGUACUUCUUAAAUUGGUUGGCUUAUGCUUGCAUCUCCAUAGCUACUCUUAACCCCAUGUGGAGGAGAUACACCUUCUGUCAAAAGACCACCAGUAGAAAAUAAAAUAAAUAUCAAUGACAAUAAUAAAGGAAAGAAAGGAAGCAAGCAUAAUCAAAUAAAAAAUCAAACCAUAAGUGAAUCCUUAAAAUAAAUAAGGUUAACUUCAUAAAAACUUGAAUGAAAUUAGAAAUAUGUACCUUCGUAGUCAAACACAUGAUGAUUGUGAGAAAUAUGUACCUUCAUAAAGAUGCAUCUCUGACUUUGAGAGUUGAGAAACUCAGCCUCCAUGUCGCCGGAGAGUGAUUUGAAGUUGGUAAAUGAGUCUUUGCCACACAACCGUUGUGCGGUGACAUCUUAAUCUCUUGCAGUUUCUGUUUCAGAUCCUGUUGUCGAUUUUAGCAGUGGGAGAUAGAAGAGAGAAAAGAUUGAAGGAAGCCGGAAAAAGAUUGCAAAUAGAGAAAUGAAAUUUUGAUUUUAGGGGGAAUUGGAAAUUUGAAAGAGAGUAAAAAAUUUCAAAUUGUUAUAUAUUGGAGAGACUCAGAGAGAGAUUGCAGUGAGAGUGAUGAUAAAAGCCAUAAAAGGGGCUGAUCACUCACGAAUUUGGGAUUAGAUUUUCUGUGUUUAUUUCUUACAGUAAAUAAUUUUGCCAAACUGAUACAAAGUAGCUUUGACAGUCAUGUUCACAUGUGAUGGAUUUUUUUGUUUUUUC
rnacentral:lncRNA from 1 species